CAAUAGCGUAUAUUAAAGUUGUUGCGGUUAAAAGCUCGUAGUUGGAUUUCUGUUGAGGAACAACGGUCCGCAUUAUGUGCGAGUAUCUGUUAGGGCCUUGGCAUCCUCUUGGAGAACGUUUUUGUGCUUCAGUGCGCGAUUUCGGGAUUCAAGACUUUUACUUUUGAGGAAAUUAGAGUGUUCACGGCAAGCAAUCGCUUUGAAUACAUUAGCAUGGAAUAAUAAUAUAGGACCUUGGUACUAUUUUGUUUGGUUUCUUAGCACUAGGGUAAUGAUUAAUAGGGAGUAAUUGGGGGCGAUUCGUAUUAACGCGUCAGAGGUGGAAUUCUUGGAUUGCGUUACGACGAACUACUGCGAAAG
rnacentral:rRNA from 1 species